UAGGCUAAAAUAGAAAAUAAGAGAGAUAAGUCCUUGUUCUCAAAGAUCUUACAAAGCUAAAACAUAUUAAAUAAGCAGUCACAGUAUUAUGUAAUUAUAAUUAUGAAAGAAUUACAGGGUACCAUGAGAGAGUAUAACAGGGGACUUGGUCUGGGAGGUCAGGGAAAAUUUGCUGGUGAGCUAACACUUGAGCUGAGCUCUGAAUGAAUGAUAACAGUUAUUUAGAUGAAGGAGCAGAAGAGCCUCCCAGGGAUGGCAAAUAGAAUGUGCAAGGUGACUGGAUAGGAUGUCAGGAUAUUAAUGGAUUUCAUUAUAAUUCAUAUCUGUUUGUUGAAUUCUUGUUUGUGGUCCAUAUCAUGUACUUAACGUUUCUUACUCACUUGACAUACUAAAAAAUUAUAGGUGAGCUAAAGAGUUAAGUAAUAUCUAUGAGAUUUUGUUUUAUAUAAAUAUAUAUAUAAGUAUGUAUAUAUAUAUAUAUAUAUAUAUAAUAUAUGUUAAACAUAUAAGUUACUUUAUUCUGUGGCAGUAUUAUCUGGUCCAUAUGUCCACCUUCAUAAAAGCCUGUUCCAUCUUGUAAAUUAUACAUAUGUGAAGAUGUGCCUUCUAUAGACUGGGAGACUACAAAAACUACAGUUUUGUGAAAGUCUUCUUUACAGGGAAGGAAGGUGGAUUCUGUUUUUAUUCAUACUUGAGUUUGUUUGUUUUUUUUUUUAAUUUUGUGGCAGUGAAUAUAGUCAUGUAGAGAAUUGUCUUAAAUUGACUAAUUAUGAUUUUACCUAGGUUGAUUCGUUUAGUAAGUGUAUUUUCUAAAGAAAUGAAGAUUUAGCUGUGUGUAUAUGUAUGUAUGUAUUUUCACUAAAAAGGACUUCAGGUUAAAUCUCUUCUAUAGAUAAGAAAACUUAGGCCUGAGAAGUGUAGGGGACUUUUGCAAGUCUGAGUUAAGUGUUUUUUGUUUUGUUUUGUUUUGUUUCCUAUUGUUUUCUUGUUUUAGAUUGGUUAAACACUGAUUUCUGUUUUACAGAGCCAAACACCCUGAAAUUAAGUGGAUCUUUAGGCAGAGAACUUAGACUUCACCAGUUUUAUAUAAAAUAAAAGCAAACUUUAAUGUUGCCUUUCCAGCCACCUUUAGCCCAACAGAAAGUAAAUGUUCAUAGAUUUUAGCAUUCCACACAGGGUUCCAUGAUGGACAGUACCUAUUUGCCUGGCAGCCGUUUAAGGUCCACAAAGAUCUAUAUGAUCCACUGGGGAGGGAACUAGUUCAGCUAGUAGUAUUUAUUAUGUGUAGUGGCAAAUACUAAAAAUGUAUACCCUAAUAUGCCAAAUUGCCUAGAAGAAAAGACCAAAAGGCCGUCUCUUUCAUGGAAUUAAAUGGGUAUAAUCAGUGUCUUAUUUAGAUUGGUUAGACAUUCAUGUGUUAGGCCACACAUGUAAUGAUAGAUCAGUAACCCUUUCUGACUAUGUUGCUAAAUGGAAUUACAUUUUAAACAUAUUUUGUACCUAACUUCUAUUCAACCAAGUUUUAUUUGGUUGUAUUUAUAACUUAGGUCUAGGCUUCAACUAACUUAGGAAAUAGCUUACAAAUUAAAGGAAGAAAGGAUAAUUAUAAAGGGCUGUUUUGGGGGUGGGGCCAGGCCCCACUAAAGGUGUAUGUCUUAUGGCCCCAAUCUGUAUGUCCUUUCUCUGCAACAUGUAGCACUUACUGCUUCUUGAUUUUUUAAUUUUUUGACCAACACUUAUUCAAAACCUUCUCCAAUUUUAUAUCUAUUAUCUUUACUAAUCAUUUGUGGCAGGUGAUCUCAUUUAUUUUACAGAGAAAUCUAGGCUGUCUAGCCUGCUAUUUCUUUGUUUUCUCUCUUUAAAGAAAUGAUUUCUGGAGCGCCUGGCUGGCUCAGUUGGUAGAGGAUGUGACUCAGUCUCAGGGUCAUGAGUUCAAGCCCCACAUUGGGCAUGGAGCCUACUUAAACCUUAAUUAAUUAAUUUAAAAAAAGAAAUGAUUUCCUUUUUGAGGCAAUUGGUGAUCUUAAUUUAAUUCCCAUAUUAAAUUCUCUCCGCAUUGCUUUGUUUUUCUUUACCAUUAAAUUAGAAUAUUUUGUUUUCAGGAUUUGUUGUAGCUAAAGUCAACAUUAGACAAACCUGCAUGCAUUUGUUUAUACUGGCUAUAUUUAGAAACUCAGCAUUUCAUUUGGUGCUAGUAAUGCUUAGAAUUUUUUUCCUUAUAAUUUUGGCCUUUAUUGUUCCAUUUGUUAAUUUUGGGGUGAAGCAAUUGAGACUUCAUUUUAUUGGCAUUUAAUAGUCAUUUUAUUGGCAAAGAGAUAGAGAGGGAUUAUUAAGUGGUAUAUUUGUGUUGACAGAGAUGAAAAGUGAUCAGGUGAUGACAUACUCUAUUCCCAUCCAUGUUGAUAUAUAUCAGAACCUAGAGGUAUAUACAUGCAUAGUUUUAUAAAAUGGUAUUUACUGCUUUUCUAAUAUAAUUGAAGGAAGGCUUGAUAAUUCUUGGUCAGUGGAGAUACACAAAAACUAGAGUGAAAAAGCAGUAGACUAAAAGCUAUUACUAUUUUCACUGCUUUUAGGAAGAUUAUUCUUUAGAAGAUGUAUAGAGUCAUUAUGAAUUGUGUAAAUACAUGUUUGAAUUUUUCUGAAUUUGAAUGUCUUUAUUUUGGGCUAAACCAGAUUCCUGAAAAACUACAGAUUUGAACCUUUUAACUUUUCCUCCCUUCCUCCUAAUAGCUUUGGUUUGUAGAACUGGACCACAACAUCAUACUGUCAGCUUUCACUGUGGAAUAAAACAAGAAGAAGAAAGAAAAAGAAAUGCUUCUGAAUUGUUGAAAAGAUGACAGAGUUUUGCCCAUUGCUCCUUAUACAGAAAUCUUAAAAACAUUCUCUUAGAUGCACCUAAAUUACAUAAAAGCAAAUAUUAAGAGAUCUAAAGGGACAAAUAGACAGUAAUAUAAUAAUGGUAGGAAACUUUAAUAUCCCACUUUCAUCAAUGGUUAGAUCAUGCAGAUAAAAAAUAAGGAAACAUUGGCUUUAAACAACACAUUAGACCUGACGGACUAAACAGACAUAUACAGAAUAUUCUAUCCAAAAGAAACAGAAUAUACCUUCUUUUCAUGUGCACAGGAUAGAUCAUUUAUUAGGCCACAAAAAGGUCUUAAUAUGUUUAAGAAGAAUGAAAUUGUAUUAAGCAUCUUUUCUGACCACAGAGGUAUAAAAACAAAUCAAUUACAAGAAGAAAACUGGAAAAACUACCAAUAUGUGAAGAUUAAACAGCAAUCUAUUGAACAAAUGGGUCAAAAAAGAAGUCAAAGAGAAACCAAAAAAUACCUUGAGACAAAUGAAAAUAGAUAUAUGUACAACAUACCAAACUUACAGGAUGCAGCAAAAGCAGUGCUAAAAGGGAAGUUCAUAAAGAUAAAUGCCUACUUUAGGAAGCAAGAAAGAGCUCAAAUAAAUAACCUAACUGUACAUUGCAAGGAACUAGGAAAAAAAGAACAAAUGAAGCCCAAAGUUGAUAGAAGGAAAUAAAUAACAAAGAUCAGAAUGGAAAUGAGAGACUAACCAAAAGAAAAGAUCGAUGAAACUAAGAGCUGAUUCUUUGAAAAGAGAAGCAAAAUUGAGAAGCCUUUAUCUAGAUUCAUCAACAAAAAAAGAAGACUCAAAAUCAGAAAUGAAAGAGAAGAUAGACAAGUAAUACCAGAAAUACAAAGGAUAAGAGACUACUGUGAACAGUUACACACCAACAAAUUUGACAACCUAGAAGAAACGGAUAAAUUCCUAGAAGCGCAUGAUCUACCAGACUGCAUCAUGAAGAAAUAGAAAUCUGAACAGACUAAUUACUAGAAAGGAGAUUGAAUCAGUAAUCAGAAACCUCCCAACAAACAAAAGUCCAGGACCAGACGACUUCACUGGUGAAUUCCAUCCAAUAUUCAAAAAAGAAUUAAUAUCAAACUCCUUCAAAAAACUGAAGAGGUGGGAACACUUCCAAACUCAUUUUACAAGGCCAGCAUUACCUGGAUACCAAAACCAGAAAGGGAUACCACAAUAAAAGAAAAAUUACAGAGAGAGACACAGUGAGAGCAGGAUCACAAGCAGGGGGAGAGGGAGAAACAGGCUUCCCGCGGAGCAGGGAGCCCGAUGUGGGGCUCGAUCCCAGGACCCCGGGAUCAUGACCUGAGCCGAAGGCAGACGCUUAACGACUGAGCCACCCAGGCGCCCCGAACGUUUGUGUAUUAUUAAGUCUUGUAUGGACAAAUGUUUUUAUUUCUCUUGAGUAGCUACCUAGGAAUGGAUGUUAUAUGUUAUGUUUAACAUUUGUUCAACACAGAACUGCCAAACUGUGUCCAAAGUAACUAUACCAUUUGAAGUUCUAACCAGCUGUCGGGGGGGGGGGGUGUUAGUUUCUCCACAUCACUAACAUUUUUUAUAUUAUUUGUCUUUUUUAUAAUAGCCAUUCUAGUAGUUAUGUGGUGGUAUCUCAUUUUGGCUUUAAUAUGCAUUUCCUCAGUGCUGUUGAUGGCAACCAUCUUUUUGUAUACUUGCUAUAGCAUGUCUUCUUCUUUUUUUUUUUUUUUGCAUGUCUUCUUUUGGUAAUGUAUCUAUUCAAAUCUUCUGCUCAUUGUUGGAUUGUUUGCGUUAUUGAAUUGUAGGACUUUUUUUUAUAUAUUCUGUUUAUACAUUCAGUAUCAGAUAAGUGAUUAGUAAAUACUUCCACUCUAGCCUCUCUUCAUUUUCUUAUUGGUAUCUUUUGAAGUUUAUUCCUGGUUUUAAGAAAUUUGAUUGUAAUUUGCCUUGUGUAGUUUCCUUUAUGUUUCUUGAUCUUAAGCUUCUUGGGUCUUUGGACUUACAAUUUUAACCAAAUUUGGGAAAUUUUAUAAAAAUAAAAAGAUUUUUAUUUUUGAGUAAUCUUUAUAUCCAAUGUGGGGCUCAAACCACAAUCCUAAGAUCAAGAAUUGCAUGCUCUACUGACUGAGCCAGCCAAGCACCCUCAAAAAUUAUUUUAGAAAGCAUCAUUAUGUUUUCUUAAGGGAUGACACUUGAAGAGAAUCCACAAAUGACCCACAGUUUACUGAUGGUUCUGUUCAUUUUUAUCAGUUCCUUUCUUUUCUUUUGGUGUGUUUUAUUUUAAUAAUGCUCUCUCUUGUUUUCAUUGAUGUUAUCUUCUGCAGUAUCUGAUUUGACAUUAAUCCCAUGUAAUGUAUUUUUCAUCUCAGAUAUUGUAUUUUUUGAUGUAUAAAAGUUUUAUUUGGGUCGUUUAUAUCUUUCUUAACGUGGUUAUUCUUAGGAGUUGGCAAACUAUGGCCCAUGGGUCAAAUGCUGCCCAUGCCCCCCCCCCCUUUAAUAUGGUUUCCAAGCUAAGAAUAGUCUUUGUAUUUUUAAAGAUUUAUUUAUUUUAUUAUUUAUUUAAUUUAUUUUUAAAGAUUUUAUUUAUUUAUUUGGCAAAGAGAGAACAGGGAGCACAAGCAGUGGGAGAGGGAGAAACAGGCCCCCUGUCGAGCAGGGAGCCCGAUGUGGGACUCCAUCCCAGGGCCCUGGGAUCAUGACCUGAGCUGAAGGCAGUCGCUUAACCAACUGAGCCACCCAGGUGCCCUAAGAUUUAUUUGAGAGAGAGAGAGAGAGCAAGCACGCAGAGGGAGGGGCAGAAGGAGAGGGAGAAAAAGAAUCUAAAGCAGACUCUCUGUCAACCAUGGAGCCAGACUCGGGGCUUGAUCUCAUGACCUCCCAAACCUAAAAUAUCUGGCAACCCAGCCUCCACCCUAAAUAUAACAGUAGAGGAGGGGCACCUUGGUGGCUCAGUCAGUUAAGCGUCUGCCUUCAGCUCAGGUCAUGAUCCCAGGGUCCUGGGAUCAAGCCCUGUGUCAGGCUCCCUGCUCAGUGGAGAGCCAGCUUCUCCCUCUCUGCUGCUCCCUCCCUGCUUGUGCUCUCUCUCUCUCUCUGUCAAAUAAAUAAAAUCUUUAAAAAAACAGUAAAGGAAUUUGAAACUGGUGGUACACUGAAGGUCAUGAUAGCAACAACAUAACUCAAACCCACUUAAUUCAUGACUAGAUUUACUUAAAUUUCCAUAAUAAAGGUCUAAUGGAAGAAAAGGCAUGUCUAUCCCCUGGUAUAAAUACUAUUAACAUCAGUCUAUGCUGUUGUAUAUCAUGAAAUCCAGCUUUCAGCUACAAAUUAUUGACACUAUCAAGAGAAAAUCAAUUAGAAGAACUAAAUUCAGGUAUAAAUGCUUUAGUGGAAAAGGUUGAUAACAUGGUUAAACAUUGGGGAUUUUAGCAGAGAGAUGGGACACUUUAAGAAAGAAUUCAAAUGGAAAUGCUGGAAAUGGAAAACACAGUAAUAGAUGAUGAAUGCCUUUGGUGGGCAUAUCAGUAGAGUUGACACAGUUGAAGAAAGAAUGAACGAACUUGAAUAUAAGUCAAUAGAAAUUACCCAGACUAAAAGUAAAAAGAGAAAAAGAGAAGAAAAAACAGAGCACUUAAAAAAGAGCUUUAGGGAAAUAUGAAACUGUAUAAUAUACGUCUACUAGAAUCCUAGAAGGAGAAGAAAAAUGAGGCUGAAGAAAUACUGCUAAAGUGAUGGCCAUGAGUUUUCCAACUAUAAAGAAAGACAUCCAACCACAGAUCCAGGAAACUCAGGAGCAGGAUAAUUUCAAACAUAUACACCCUGACCUACCACCUAGAUCACCUAGAUCCAUCACAUUCAAACUCUGAAAAUCAGAGAGGAAAUCUUAAAGGCCACCAGAGUAAGGCAUUACCUAAUUUAGAAGAUUACAGAAAUACAGCAGACAUCUCAGAAACUAUGCCAGUCAGAACACAGUGAAGUGACAUCUUUAAAGUGCUGAAAGAAAAAAAAAAAGUAAUAACUCUCCAACCGGAAGGAAAUUAAAGAUGUUUUCAGGGAAUCAGAAGCUGAAAUUACUCAUUCCCAGAAGAUGUGGACUACAAAAGAUACCAUUCUAAUAUGAUGCCAGACAGAAAAUCUACUCAAAGAAAUGAAGAGAGCUGGUAAUGAUAAAAACUGAAGAUAAAUAUAAAAUAGAAUUUUCUUGUUUUUAAUCACUGUGAAACAUAACUGCCUAAAGCAGAAGUUGGCAAAUACUGUUUUAAAGGGCCAGGUUUUUUUAGACCUGCAGACUGUAGGGUGUUGUAACUACUCAACUCUGCUCUUGUAGCACCAAGGCAGCCAUAGACAAUACACAAAUGAAUGCAUGUAGCUGUGUCUCAAUAAAACUUUUACAAAAACUGGCAAGCCAGCCUAUGGGUCAUAUUUUCUAAAUGCCGAGAUUACAACAAGAAUUGUAGUGAAGCACUGUUGGUUUAUACCAUAUUUAAAAUGAAAAUGAAUGACAAGAAUAGCACAAAGAUUCUUAUACCUAAAGCAGCAUAGUAUUUGAAGGCAUGCUGGGAUUUGUUAAAGAUAUAUAUUGUAAAUUCUAGGGUAAUCACUAAAAACAUUGAAUACAGAGGUGGAUAUAUUAAGCCCAAGUGGAGAUAAAAUGGAAUUAUAAAGUUACUUAAUCCAAAAAUAGGUGGAAGAAGAGGUCAAAUGCAAUAGUGAACAAGAUAGAACAAAUAGAAAACAGCUAUUAAGAGAAUAGGUUUUAAUCUAAGCACAUCAAAAAUUAUAUUACAUGUAAAUGGUCUAAACCUAUUAAAAAAGACAAAAGUUGGUUAGUUGGAUAGAAAAACAAGAUCCACUAACAUAUAUAACCAUACCCCUAUGCCCUUUUUAUGUAAACAGAUACACACUUUUUUUUUUCUUAAUAUUAUAUCUUAGAGAGUACUCUUUGGAGAUAAAGAUUUAGUCCAAGUCCCUGUUUAUACCUCAUAGUAUUCUAUUGUGUAGAUGUGCCAAUUUAUUCCGUCAUAUCUGCUAAUGAUAUAUAUUUGGAUUGUUUCUAUUAUUUUCCUAUAUAAAUAGUGCUAUGAUUAAUAUCCUUUUGCAUGCAUUUUUUUGUUUUUGCCAGUAGAUUUUUAGGGUGGGUUCCUAGAAUCAAAGAAUGAAUAGAUAUGUAAUUUUGCUAAGUAGGCCAAAGUUUUCUUUAUAACAGCUCAUACCAUCUUGCAUUCUCACCCACAAAAUUAGUCCUUGUUUACAUUCAACUUUACCAAUUUUGUGUUAUCAGACUUUUGAUUUUUUUGCUAAUCUAACAGAGGAGUAAUGGCAUUUUAGUGUAUUUUUUAAAAAAAGAUUUAUUUAUUUAUUUUAGAGAGAAAGAGAGCACAAGCAGGAGGGGCAGAGAGGGAGGGAGAGAGAAUUCUUAGCAAACUCCAUGCUGAGUGCAGAGCCCGAUGCAGGGCCCCAUCUUAUGACCCUGAGAUCAGGACCUGAGCCAAAAUCAAGAGUUGGAUGCUCAACCAACUGUACCACCCAGACACCCUUCAAUGUAGUUUUAAUUUGUAUUUUUAAUAUGUAUUUUCCUUUCUUUUUUUUUUUUAAGAUUUUUUAUUUAUUUGAGAGAGCAAGAGAGCAAGAAUGGAGGGAGGAACAGAGGGAGAGGGACAAGCAGACUCCACGCUGAGCAGAGCCUGACAUGGGGCUCCAUCUCACAACCCUGAGAUCAUGAGCUGAGCCAAAACCAAGAGUCGGAUGCUUAACCAACUGAGCCAUCCGGGCGCCCCUUAAUUUAUAUUUUUCUUAUUGUGAGUGAAGUUGAACAUCUUUUUGCAUAUCCUUACAAACCAUUAUUUUUUCAUUCAUCUUUUGAUUUUGCUUAUUUUGUUCGUAUUUUUAGACAUUUUAAAAUGUAAUUAAAAUUUGUCAGUAUUCCUCUAUUGCUCUUGCAUCUUGAAUCAUAGUUAAGAAUGAUUUAAAGAAAAAUGAUUUGUCUAUAACCAGGUUAUAUGGGAUUUUUUUCUGAUAUUUGUAAUGUCUAAUUUUUUAUAUUUAAGUUUUUGAUACACUUUGAAUUUUUUCUUGUUUGGAACCUAGAGUGAAUCAGUUUUGUCUUAUAACAUUUGACUAUCCAAUACAAAGAAGUCAACUUUUUCCCUACUGAUUUGAGAUGCUGCUUUUGUCAUAUAUGCACUUUUCACAUCAGUUGGUCUAUUUUUGGAUUUUUCAUUUCAUUAGGCUAUUUUUUCAUCUGCCAAUACAAUGGUGGUUCAAUUAUAGAGGCUUUACAAAAUGUUUUAAUAUUGGCUUGCUCCUUUUCAUUACUCUGUUUCAUGGUUUUUCUAGAUAUUCAGCUUUCUAGAUAAUCAACUCUCCUACCUCCACAAAAACUUGCAAGUACUUUUAUUUGUAUGUAAAUUUUAAAUUACCUUCCUCCAGUCUAAGGACACUGGAAUAAUAAUCCUAAAAUUUCUCCUUCCAACUUAAAUGCUAUUUAUGUCAUGUGUUUUUGCUGUAUUUUAAAGCCCAGAUGAGAUUAUUUCUUCAUGAAGGGUGUCAAAAUUUGUAGCCUAUAUAUUCACUAAUUUGCAUCUUAGAUCCUUCUUGCUAAUUUAAUUUCCUAUCUAUUUGAAAACAGUUUCUAUUUUUCUGUGGUUGUUUAUACAUUGUUUUUUUUUUUUUUGUAUUUGAUGUUUUAUAGUUUACUGUGAUUAGCUAGGUUUAGACUUAUUUUUAUUAAUCCUUAAUGGGGUUUCCUGGGCUUCCUAGAUCUGAGGGUUGGUAUUUUUCAUCAAUUAUGAAAAAGUCUUACCUUGUUUUUGUCUUUACCUCAUCUCUCUCUCUCUCUCUCUUUUUUUUUUUGUGCAAGUAUAAUUAGACAUCUUAGACAUGUACACUCCAUUCCCUGUAUCUCCAGUUCUUGCUUGUGUUUUCUGUUUGUCUUUCUCUGUUGUAUUCUAUAUUAGUAAGUGGAUUUCUUGCAUUUGGAUAGUUAAUAAGCAUCAUACUUCAGUGGAAUUUUCCUAUGGUGGAUAAAUACACAAAUUCACAUUCUUGUAUUUCAGGGUGAAAAUUACCUAUAUGCUACAGAGACCCCAAAAAAGAAUAGUAAUUCUCGUUGUAACUACCAAACAAUCUACUAUGUGUGUCUUAUUUUAAGGAAGUCUGAUACUUUAUUACCAUUUGUAAUAGAUGAGAAAAUAUAGUCUGACUUCCAAGAAUCCUGAUGGUGGUGUGUAGUUUGUUUCAUAAAUAGGGACUGUACCAGUACUCUACUUAUUUAAACUUGCAUAACUCAUAGCAAUAUACUGAUUGAUGCAAGUCAAGUAAGUAUGAUUAUAUAAUGUAUAAUUUUUUAAAUUCAAAGGCAUGCUAUUUAUCAUGUAUAUGUCCCACUAUAAAUAAUUUGUUUUUAUAGAAGUCAUUUUAAGUAAUUCUAUUUUGAAUAAAUAUUUCAAUUUAUGUAAAUGAACUUUAGUUAACUCAUAACUUGGACUAAGGUUAAUUAUAAAUUGAUUAGUAUAUCGACUGGUAAUAUUAAAUAUUGUAUUAAAUAUACAUUAUACAAACAUUAAACAUUAUAUUAAACAUAUUCAAAAUUAAAAACUGAUAUAAACAUACACUAAUAAAUUUUUAGAAACCCUUUGAUGAAUUUAGUCAGAUAUCUUAAAAAGCUUCAUAAUGUAAGUGAAGAAAAAUUGAUGUCUUAUGUUUCAACAAAAUUGACAGUACACAGCAGAGAAAAACAAAUCUAUGAAGAUCUGUGUUUCCUCUUAGAUUAUUGAAGGAGGAACUUUGAUGGCAAUGUUAAUAAUAAAAAUUAACAGUACUUUUAUUAUUAGCAAGCAUCAGUAGCACAACCAGGGAUUGAUUGUUCUAAGUGCUUUACAAAAGGUAGUUAUUAUUUCUGUUUUAUAAACAAAUAAACUGAGGCAUAGAGCUAUUAAGUGACUUGCCCAGGGUUACAUAUCAAGAAAGUGGUGGAGCUGAGAUUGAAACCCAAACACUGUGGCUGUAGACCAUGGGUGAGUAAAGGGCCAGACAGUAAAUAUUUCAGGCUUAGCUCUUAAGGUUUCUGUUACCACUACUCAGUUCUGUCAUUGUAGUGUGCAAGCAGCCAUAGCCAAUAUGUAAAUGGAUGGGUAUGGUUGUUUUCUUAUAAUACCUCAUUUAUUGACAGGAUAUUUGAAUUUCAGAUCAUUUUUACCUGUCACGAAAAGUUAUUCCAGGUUUUUCUUCUCUUCUUCUUCUUCUUUUAACAAUUUAAAUAUGGCUAACUAUUCUUAUCAUGCAUUAUUCAACAGGCUAUCAUUGGGUCAGAUUUAGCCUGUGGAUAGUAGUCUGCCAGCCCUGCUCUAGAUUGCUACAUAUAUUUUGGGGGUCCUACUUUGUUCUAGUCUGGACUCACCCUCCAUCAUAGAGUUUUCUUCCAUGAGGGCUAGGUAACUUGAUCUCUAAACAUUUAGUUGAUCCUUUAUACCAGUCAAUAGGAAAUACAACAGGUUUGGAGCCUGAAGUUUCUACUUCUAUAAAUAAUCUAGAUUUUUCCCCUAGUGAUUUCACUACCACAUAAAUACUUGUUUACUUCCCUGAAACCCUAAGACAGAGCUAGCUAGAUUUGUUUUUAUUUACUCUUUUGUUUUUAUUUACUCUUACUUUGCAUGUAGUUUUAACAUUUUAAUGUCAUUAUCAUGGAGUUGGGCCUUGUUAUUGAGGUAGCCGAUAGUGGGGUCUGCACAGAUCUCUAUCUUUUGUUAUGUUGGCUCCCCUUUCAUUUUCACAUAAUUCAGACAUUAUAUAAUUCUGCAUAUUUUGUUGGAUUUUUUUGUACAGGGUCACAUGCGUCUGCAUACUCAGAUCUAAAUAUACUCCAUAGAACAUUUUAUUUCUACUAAAAACCUUUGCUAUCUCUCUCCCUCUUUUAAUACAGUUAAUUGCCCUACCAGUCAAUACUAUCUACUCAACAUAAUGAUGCAAUCCCUUUCCCUUCUACUUAGUGCAAACUUAAUGCCGCUGUUUCAAUAGGUUAUAAUAUAUACGUAAAGUACAAUAUUAUGAUAGUACAGAAUCAGCUAUAUAUUUGGAGAGAAGGAAGGGAAUUUUAGACCAGAUUCCUAUGUAAAAUUGUGUAAAUAGGUCUUGAGGAAGCAAAAUAGAUCCAAAGACCAUAAGAGCAUAUGAGUUAAGGAAAUGGGGAGAAGCUGUGAUUGGAGAGCAUAAAAUUUCUGAUAAAAGUUAUGUGUGUAAAUAUAGUUUUGAAUCAGACAUAAAAGUUUUUAUAUCAAGAUAAGGAAUUUGUAUUUCCUGCUAUAGAUUAAUGAUCUCAAAUAUCUACAUAGAAUGGGAAGGGAAUGUUAGUAAAAAAAUCAGUUAAGCAGCUAGUAUGUUGGAGAGGUGGACAGAGACUGGCAAAUUGGAAAGGAGGUUCAUGUUCUGUCUAAAGGUAGUAGCUGCUCAGCUUAUUUUGUCAUAGAGAGAUGCAAACCCUGUGUUAUAGGGGUUCCUGUUUCAUAGGAGCUCAGGGAAAUCUAGAUUUAGUCUGAAGUAGCAAAGUUUUUAAGUAUUAGCAACUAAAAUAUUUUUAAAAAAUAUUUUAUCCAUACAAAAUAAGUGUGUCCUCUGAAUGUCUUUGCUUUUAGAUGGUACAAUCCAAACAGCAGUUUGUAAAGUCUGUUAAGUCAAAUCAUUCUGUGUUUUAGGAUGAUAACAAUGGCGGCAGCUAUAUCAAACAUGUACUUAUGAGUGAGUGAGUGUGGAAUAGCAUAGGAAAGGUCUAUUAGAAAUUUAAAGAUGAUGUAGAUGUGAAUUAAUGGUAUAGGGAUAGAGAAGAUUCCAGGGGUACAUUGAUGGGGCUUUUUUCAUAUUCAUCAAUAGUAAAAUAAAUAAUUGCAAAAGGGUUAAUAAUGACAAUUCUUUACAUUUCUGGCCCCCAAAUUCUGUUUUACUUACGUGGAGUCGACUGCUUUUACCAGUUUGUUGCAUAUCCCUCUAGAUACUUUGACAAUAUGCAUUGGUAUUCAUGUGCCCUCUAUCCCCUCCCUCCCUUCACACAAAUGAUAAUGUAGUUAAUAUAUUUCUGCAUCUUUUCUUAACAGUAUAUCUUGGAAUUUUCCCCUCUUCUAUUCAUAUAGAUUUAAGUGUAUUCUAAUAUUCUCAUUAACAUUUGUAUUAUAUUUCAUUGUAUAGGUGUAUUGUAAUUCAUUUUCCCAGCCCCCUGUGGUAGACAUUUAGUAUGUUUCUGUUCUUUUGCUGUUACAAAUCAUUUGUGGAUGCAUAUCCCUAUAUAGUCUUUGAGCUAAUGUGUGUAUAUUUGGCUGAUUUAGUUCUAUAAGUGGAAUUGCUAAGUCAAAUGAUUAUGUGCAUAUUGUAAAUUUUCUGAUGACUAUUACUGUGUUGCCCUUUAAAAGAGGUAGUACCUCUUACCAUACCUCCAACAAGAUACCAGAGCUUAUUUCUCUACAUCAGAGCCGUCAGCAUUUUCAUUCCUAUCAUAAAUAUGAUAGGAAAGGUAUUUCAUCUUCAUAAAUUUUUACUUCUUUGAGUAAAGUAGAACAUCUUUUCAUAUUUGAAAAAAAAUUCACUUGUGUUUCUUUUCUGUGGGAUAGUCCUCUUCCAGUGUUUUACCAGGUUGUUAACUUUUUCUUCAGGGGUGUCUGGGUGGCUCAUUGGGUUGUGUAUGACUCUUGAUCUUAGCUCAGGUCUUGAUCUCAGGGUCAUGAGUUCAAGCCCUGCAUUGGGCUCCACGCCCAGGGUGGAUCCUACUUUAAAAAAAAAAAAAAAUGUUUAAGCUUUUUAAUUAAGGAAAUCAACAAAGAUUCUUUAUGUAUCAUUUUCUUUGAUUACUUUUAUAUAUUUUGGUCUGUUGACAUUUAAAAAUUGUUUUUAACUACUUUAAGUAAUUAAAGUUUUAUAAAAUACGUUAUGGGGCAUGGUUAUUUAGAAGUAUUUAAUUAUUGUGUAAUACUUGGGUCUUUUAUAUAAUUUUUUUUAAACUACAUAGUCUCAUAGUUAUGUUUGCAUUCUAAAAACUUCAUUCUUAGAGAUUAAUUUGGAUUAAAGGCAAAAAAUGAUUAAAAAAUACAACUUUGGGUAUUCCUAGUUGAGGAUCUUGUAGGUGAAUUAAAAUCUAAAGAUUCUGUGGUAUUUGUCAUUUGCUCUACUUUAGGACUGCUAAGUAAUAUUAAAUAAUUUUCAUAGUUUUUCAUGCUCAUGAUUAGGAAAUAAGUCCUAUUUCUUCCUAUAUGAAAUUAUGAAUUUAUAAAGACACAUAAAGUAUUUAGUUACAAUAUUUUCCAAAAACAAUUAUUUAAAAAGGAACCACAGACUUUUGGGCUGUCUGUCAUGAGUGGGAAAAUCAAGGUAAGCCCAGAGUUUGAGAACCCAUGUAUCGUUUAUUAGAUACCUAAUUGGUGAUACUACUAUAACAUAAAUGUUGGCUGAGAGUUUCACAGUGACUCUCUAAUUUUCUUAUACUUUUAUGUUAAUUUUAUCCAUCCUUUAUAUCCAUCUGAAGAAAAUUAGUUAUUGAAUUUUCUAAGGGGCCCAUUUUACAAGGGUGAAGCUGGACCCAUUUUAAAUCAUCUUGACACAUGUAACAAAAUUUUUGCCACCUGGUAUACCACUGCGUUUUUUUUGUUUGUUUGCUUGUUUGUUUGGGUUUUUUUUGCAUUGUGAACACUGGUAGGCAUGAGUAAUGUAAUUGUUCAUUCUAUAGUUCUAGAACUUCAGACGAGAUCGGGCGCUUCAGGGUGGUAUGGCCGUAGACUAGAACUUCAGUAUAUUUCUUUGUAUUUUCUUUGAAGACACUUCUAUUAAAAUUUUACUGAAAACGUAACAUGAAUCUUAAAUGAUCAAUGUAAUGAUUAAAAUCUGGCCAUUUUAAAACUAAAUAUCUGAUAUUACAUAGUUUUUAUCUCUUGAGAAUAUUUUAAA